rnacentral:rRNA from 1 species
GAUGAACGCUAGCGGCAGGCUUAACACAUGCAAGUCGAGGGGUAUAGUAGCAAUACUAGAGACCGGCGCACGGGUGCGUAACGCGUAUGCAAUCUACCUUUUGCAGAGGGAUAGCCCAGAGAAAUUUGGAUUAAUACCUCAUAGUAUUAUAGUAUGGCAUCAUAUUAUAAUUAAAGUCACAACGGCAAAAGAUGAGCAUGCGUCCCAUUAGUUAGUUGGUAAGGUAACGGCUUACCAAGACUACGAUGGGUAGGGGUCCUGAGAGGGAGAUCCCCCACACUGGUACUGAGACACGGACCAGACUCCUACGGGAGGCAGCAGUGAGGAAUAUUGGACAAUGGGCGCAAGCCUGAUCCAGCCAUGCCGCGUGCAGGAUGACGGUCCUAUGGAUUGUAAACUGCUUUUGCACAGGAAGAAACAACGCUACGUGUAGCGUCUUGACGGUACUGUGAGAAUAAGGAUCGGCUAACUCCGUGCC